CUACACUCAUGUUUGCCACUUUUACAAAAUCUGAACGAGGAUUUAAAACUACUGUAUCAUAAUUGCAGAUCACUGCAUUUGCAUAUCAAUGAUAUGAAGUUGGAGAAAAACUUGAUAUCAGCUGAUAUCAUUGCUAUAGCCGAAAGCAGACUAAAACCAUCAGAUGAUGCUACAUGUUAUGAAUUACAAGGAUAUAGCACCUUUAGAUUUGAUGAUGAGAAAUACAUAAGUGGAAGGCCAUAUCACGGAAUAGUUAUUUAUUCAAAGAUCCCUUUCCAGAAUAUAAGAAGACUCCAUAUUAUGGCAACUGAAACAGUGCUUUGUCAUAUAAUUCACCGGGAAAGAAUAUUGCAACUUGUCUUCUUUUAUUGCUCUCCUCAAAAAGCUUUACAGGGGUAUUUGUGUCAGUACCUUCAGAAUUUGUUUGAAUUGCUUGGAACAGAACAUCAUUUUGUUAUUAUGGGAGAUGUAAAUGUUGACUUUUUUACACAGACUUGUUUAUCAGAAUUUCUCAUAGACCAUAAAGUAAGCCAGGUUGUUCACUCUGUUACAAGUGAUUAUGACUCAUGUUUGGACCACAUUUAUACCAAUAUGAUGUGUCCUUCUCAAAUAUCAAGUGCAACAUUGGAGUCAUAUUACUCUGACCACAAGCCAAUUGUGGCUUAUUUGCCAUAUCAUGAUGAUCAUACUGAUGAAGUUGAAUAAAAACAAAAACAAAAAACCUUGAAAUUAUCAUGAUGAUAUUUAAGCAUUUUUUCAGUCGUCAAUGUAACAUAAACUCAGUUGUCAAUAUAACAUUCCUCUUAGGGUCUAGAAAUAAUUUUUCAUACCGAAUCAGACUUGAACUUGACAUAAAUUUAAAUUUCAGUUAUUCCAUUAAUAUGAAAAAUCUGAGUUACAAUCAGGUGUAUAUUAGUUAAUUCAAAAAAAUAUACAUCUGCAAAAGAAACACUUUAUUCCCUGUUAAUUUUGUGAGAUAAACUGUAUUAUCAAUAUAAUAUUUUUUGUGCCAUCAAAAGCUAUUCUCUAUCUCUUCUGACUUUGUUUCAAAGUUGAACAGUGACAAUAUUGUUAUUUCUUUGUAGAAUGCCAUUCAAAAGCAUUCUUGACCUCAAGGAGGAAAAAACCUCGAGCUAUACAUGUACCAUACUCGAAUGGUAUAACUGUCAAAGUGUUUACAAAAGGAACACAUCGCCAAAAACAACAAGAAUGGGUGAAGGCAAGAAUAGAUGUACCAAAUGCCAUAGAGGAAUCUGCAGUUUAAAUGAUCAUGCCCACAUCACCAAUAAAGAAGGUUUCUGAAACAAAGACUUCUCCAUGGAGAUCCAUUUUCUCUGUUAAGAGACAAAUAAUCAAAAAUGAAGCCUCAAAAACUGUUACGGUUAAUGGAACAACACAUUUAUUAGAUCAAUAACUCUUCAAGAAGAUAACCCAUGUACAUUGAUGUCACUCUUUAGACAGAACUUGCAGAACAAGAACAACAGAUAGGGAAUUCAAAUCAAAAUCUCCCAUUGUCUGUUGAAUGAGUUGCAAGAUAUGGAACUCUUAAUUCAAAAAAUAUAACCACUUCAAAUUCAAAUUAGUGGACACAUGGAAGCACUUAGGUCUACAAUUGCAAUAGGGCCAUUAAAGAACAAUCACUGAAUUCAAACUACAGGGACAUUACAGUUCAACUAUAAUCAGUAAUGAAACAACAUUAUCAGAAAGUGACAACCAUGCCUCCAGUCUCUCCUUCAAUGAACCAAAAGAUUAUCUCUUGGAGUAAAAUCCCAAUUAACAUUAUUACCACACAACAAGGAUCUGAAAUUCUCAGUCUGAACAUUGCAUUUACUGACAACAACCACAACACCAAUCUCAAAUGAGAAGGAGAUGGAUUUCAUACUGUAAUUUCAGCUCUAUUUAUCAACUCAAAAUUUUUUGUAUACUUCUGAAAAUUAAUUAUUCCCAAUAGUUAUGUAAAAUUCUGAGGAAAAAAAAAUGUUUUCGAAGUAUACACUCUCCCUCCUUUUUAUAUAUGUUUAAAACAAAUAUCAUU